GCCCCAUCCAUGUAUUCCAGAUUUACCAAAACAAACUCUCCGAUUUUCCAUCAUUCUGGUAAAAACGUUGCCAUAAUUAUAGUUACUCAAGUAUGGCAGUAAGAACUGGUAGUGUGAAAUACAGUUGUGGAAUUAAAGAUUGGAGUGGUGCACCUGUAGAUGGAUCAGCCGCUCUUUGAGUGUUGAAAAAGCCUUCACAUCUCUAGUCAAUUCUUGUGCGCUUAAACAAUCUAUUGCUUCUAAAGAAUGACGUCUUGGCCCCAUCAGUCGAUGGAAAACUGCCUCUUGUCCAGCCCUCUUGUAGCUUGAUCUCUGAAAGACGCGACACCUUGCAGCAGAGAGAGGUUCAAAGCUACUCCUUCCAGCAUCAGAUGCAUCAGGGAGUUCAAGAGUCUUAGAUGAGAUGAGUCGUUUGCCUCCCGAACAAUGUUCUUGACUCUGUCUUUCAACCAAACUUUUCGUAGAGAACACCCCAAAUGGAGUCCGCAUGACCAAGACAUUGUCUGUGUCUGGAGUUCUAUGAAAGGCGCAAUAUGAUAACCAUCUUGUUAUCUGUAUCCCAUUCUUCUCUGAGCAGUUCAAUUCCAUAUGAUAUCCAGCUCUCAAAGCACACAUAGCAUGAAAGCUAGUGGCACAUUUGCAACAUUGAGUGCAAGAUCCAUGAACUUGUUUGCAGAUCACACAUGCCUUUAGGAAAGUGUUCGGAGGAAUUCUAAGAAGCCCAGCAGCAGGCUCCAUUUUAUCAGCAUUAUGGAAAGCAACUUCAGGCCGAAACCAUG
rnacentral:misc_RNA from 1 species